rnacentral:lncRNA from 1 species
UGGAAUAUUGGGGUAUUUAUAAAGCAAAGAGGCGGUGUGGGAGGCCACCGAGGUGGGCACAACCCACCAGGGCACGCCCAGGUGGGUUGUGCCCCCUCGGGGCACCCCUCUGGUACUUCUUUGGCCCAUCUUGUGUCUUCUGGCCCAGAAAAAAUCUCAAAAAAGUUUCGCUGCGUUUAGACUCCAUUUGGUAUUGAUUUUCUGUGAAAUAAAAAACGAGCAAAAAACAACAUCUGGCACUGGGCACUAUGUCAAUAGGUUAGUCCAAAAAAGAUAUAAAAUUGCUAUAAAAUGAUUUUAAACAUCCAAGAAUGAUAAUAUAAUAGCAUGGAACAAUAAAAAAAUUAUAGAUACGUUGGAGACAUAUCAGGACUCCACACCCGUUUGAUUGUUUCCGCUGAAACUUACGAGGUAUAUAUAGUUUUACAUUAUUUAUACUAGUUGACCCGUUGCGUCAAAUGGCACAGAGACCUGCUGAAGACAAGCUGUUGAUGAAAAUAGUUUCAUGCUGCAAGAACCUUCAACUAAAUCAUGCUAUUUUUUAAACAUGUUUAUUACAUUGUUAAAUAAUAGGCUGGGAAAAGGGAAACUUUGCAUAAUACGAAUAUGUUCAAUUUGAAAAUAUGGCCACUAUGAUGAGAGAGUACAGUUGGCGUGGUUGUAUUUUUUUAGCAAGUUUAGAAACAUGGUUAUCAUGAUGAGAAACCUGGUCGUGCAUCUUUUUCCUGCAAAAAAAAAGAAAAAAGAUAAGAAACCUAAGAAAAAAACAUGUCUUUGUUGUGCAUAUACGGAGAUAUAGAGAUUAGGAGGUAUUAGGAUAGCCCAUACCUGCAAAAAAAAGAGGGAAAAAGAUAAAAAACCUAAGAAAGAAAACAUGUCUUUGUUGUGCAUAUACGGAGACAUAGGGAUCAAUAGGUAUUAGGAUAGCCCAUAUGUUAUUUAGCCUAGCCCACGUAGCGUGAUGCCUGUGGCCCGUGAGGAGAUGAAUAUGA